rnacentral:rRNA from 1 species
UACGAAGGGGGCUAGCGUUGCUCGGAUUGACUGGGCGUAAAGGGCGCGUAGGCGGUUCGUCCAGUCAGACGUGAAAUUCCUGGGCUCAACCUGGGGGCUGCGUUUGAUACGUGCGGACUUGAGUGCGGAAGAGGGUCGUGGAAUUCCCAGUGUAGAGGUGAAAUGCAUUGAGAUCGGAAAGAACACCAACGGCGAAAGCACUCUGCUGGGCCGACACUGACACUGAGAGACGAAAGCUAGGGGAGCAAAUGGG